rnacentral:tRNA from 1 species
UUAGUUGAAACCAAAUAAGAGGUAGCUCACUGUUAAUGAGCAAAAUGAUUUAAUCCUGCUAUA